GCCUAACAGCUAGCCCAUCCAAACAAUUUCAACAAACCCCUGUUAAUAACCCCUAAAUACCCCAGUAUUUAUUUUAAACAAACCAUUUUUCCCCCCUAGUAUAGGCGAUAGAAAAGGGCCCACGGCGCAAUAGAGAAAGUACCGCAAGGGAACGCUGAAAGAGAAGUGAAACAACCCAGUAAAGCCUAAAAAAGCAGAGAUCAAAACUCGUACCUUUUGCAUCAUGAUUUAGCAAGUGUAACCCAAGCAAAGCGUACUUUAGUUUGACGUCCCGAAACUAGGUGAGCUACUCCAAGACAGCCUAUCAAUAGGGCGUACCCGUCUCUGUGGCAAAAGAGUGGGGAGAGCUUUGAGUAGAGGUGACAAACCUACCGAACCUAGUUAUAGCUGGUUGUCCAAGAAAUGAAUAGAAGUUCAGCCUUUCAGCUUCUCUUUUCACUUUAGUCUGACCCCUACUGAUGCAUUAAAGAAACCGAAAGAGUUAGUCAAAGGGGGUACAGCCCCUUUGAAUCAAGACACAACUUUACCAGGUGGGUAAAGAUCAUAAUAAUUAAAGCUAAAUGUUCUGGUGGGCCUAAAAGCAGCCAUCCCCUUAGAAAGCGUUAAAGCUCAGACAUGCGACCACCCUUCUUAUUCUGAUCACUAAAUCUUACCCCCCUAACCGUACUGGACCAUCCCAUGCCCCCAUGGGAGUGACUAUGCUGAAAUGAGUAAUAAGAGAGCUACCGGCUCUCUCCCUGCACACGUGUACAUCGGAACGGACAACCCACCGAACCUUAACGGCCCCAAAUAAAGAGGGCAGUGGAUGUCAGACCAAAAAACUAGAAAAAUAUCCAAAA
rnacentral:rRNA from 1 species